rnacentral:rRNA from 1 species
GUCUAUAUGGUAAGAAUAUAUAGUCUAGCCUGCCCACUGGUGUAAAAACUAAAGGGCCGCAGUAUCUUGACUGUGCAAAGGUAGCAUAAUCAUUAGUCUUUUAAUUGAGGACUCGUAUGAAUGGCUGGACGAGAAAUAAGCUGUUUCUUUCAUAAAUAUUGAAGUUAACUUUUAAGUGAAAAGGCUUAAAUAAUUUGGGGGGACGAUAAGACCCUAUAAAUCUUAACAUUCUACUAUUAAAUGUACUUAGAGUGUAGUUGAUGUAUGUUUAUUGGGGUAGUGUUUUACUGGGGCGGUAUAAAUAAAAUUAGUAACUGUUUAUAUUAAUUACAGUAAUAUCUGAACAUUUGUAGAUCCUUAAUUAAAGAUCAAAAGUUUAAGUUACUUUAGGGAUAACAGCGUUAUUUCUUUUAAGAGUUCAUAUCUAAAAAGAAGUUUGCGACCUCGAUGUUGAAUUAAAAUUUCUUUGUGGUUGCAGCAGCUACAAAAGAAAGUCUGUUCGACUUUUAAAAUUUUACAUGAUUUGAGUUCAGACCGGCGUGAG